CUGAUGGCGGCGGCGGCGGCGGCGGCGGCGGCGGCGGCGGCGGCGGCGGCGGCGGCGGCGGCGGCGGC
rnacentral:miRNA from 14 species